CAUGUAUGCAUGCAUAAAUGAAAAGAAAAUAAAAGAAAAUUGGUAAGUGGUAUGAUAUAAUUCACCUACGUUGACACCCAGAUAUUUUCAUAGGAAGAAAAUAUAGAUGUAUGUGAUGGACCCCACAAAUUAUUUACUUUCUUUCUCCUACCGUAUGCUUAUCUUGUACACAAGCUCUCUGCCUGACGCCCUGGCGCAUGCAACGUGGGGAGAAGAUCCGAGGUGUGAUGCGAACAGGUGAUGGUUCCAGAAACAAUAGAUGCAGCUACAGGCUACUGUGCACUGCGAAUCCUUUGAGUCUCAACCGUUCGAUUUAUGAGACCAACGGCUAGGAUUGAUGUUGUAGCAACAAUUCAAAACUCGUACACUAUAGAAUAGAGAUAUAGAUAUAUAUAUGCACAAGAUUACCACGAAAUCGCCAUGCCAAGUGGUUUCCUUGCACUCUGAGGUCACCACGCACAUGACUGCGCCGCUCAUCAAGACCUAGAGUUAACAGUCCGGCAGUCCCCAACGUUCUGGUCUCAUCAGCAAGAUGUGUGAAGGCAUUAUUUAUGUUCAUAUAAUGAACAAGCCAUCUGAAAACAGUACGAGGGAGAGAUCCGUCCCAAUGGUAACCAGUAUGAUUACCGGGCUAAAUGUAUCAUCAAUGCCAUGCCUGGUUCCUAGGAGAAGCCCCAAAUUACCCACUAUGACCUUCAAGGGAUCCCCAGGAUUAAAUAAGCUGCUCCUUAACCAGCUUAUUCUAGAAGCCCAAUCAAAAAUCUAGAUAGGAGACAUCAUAUUCUCGAAGCCCAAAAAAGUCACCAAAGUAAUUGGCCCUCAACUUAUGCAAAAAGGGCCAGUCACCCAAAAAAGGCCAUGCAUGCUCAUGGUCCAUUUGGUGUGUCCAGUCCCUCCAGCCCAUAACACCUCCAAUUACUUGGCCGAGCAGGAAAUUGCCUCCCCACAUUGAGCUAUAUCUGGUACCAUGAGGUAGUGAGUGUAUACUUAGACGCAUCACUUAGGAAAUGACGAGCUUGGUUCUACUGCGAUGAGAACAAGGUGACGUGGAUGGUCGCCAGAGGUGGAGGGGAAUGUUGGUUUGUGAUAUUGUACCCAGUCCCCCAAUCAUUUUUCUUAUCAAUUCCCAACCCUAGCCACCCAUGCCUCCAUCCCCUCUCAACACCACCGGCUGAAGCCCAUGUGGCUGAAGGCGGUUCAUGAGGUCACUAUGGCUCGUUGUUCUCAUCUCAUCUCUAGAUGGAACCUGUCACGGGUGCUACACUCCAAAUCCCUCAUCUUUGGUGCCUUCCCCCCUGUUGUUGCUCGUGUGGUGGUAGGUCACGUCCCCACCAUUCUUAUUUGACCCGCUUGGUCGUGGCUCGCGGUUGCUUUAGUUUGUACCGUCGAACGAUUGCCC
rnacentral:lncRNA from 1 species